rnacentral:rRNA from 1 species
CCCAGGUGGGAUUAGUUAGUUGGGAGGUAAGGGUUCACCAAGGGGACGAUCCCUAGCUGGUUUGAGAGGAUGUUCAGCCCCACUGGAACUGAGACACGGUCCAGAUUCUUACGGGAGGCAGCAGUGGGGAAUAUUGCACAAUGGGCGCAAGCCUGAUGCAGCCAUGCCGCGUGUAUGAAGAAGGCCUUCGGGUUGUAAAGUACUUUCAGCAGUGAGGAAGGUGGUAGCGUUAAUAGCAUUAUCAUUUGACGUUAGCUGCAGAAGAAGCACCGGCUAACUCCGUGCCAGCAGCCGCGGUAAUACGGAGGGUGCGAGCGUUAAUCGGAAUUACUGGGCGUAAAGCGCAUGCAGGUGGUUUGUUAAGUCAGAUGUGAAAGCCCGGGGCUCAACCUCGGAAUUGCAUUUGAAACUGGCAGACUAGAGUACUGUAGAGGGGGGUAGAAUUUCAGGUGUAGCGGUGAAAUGCGUAGAGAUCUGAAGGAAUACCGGUGGCGAAGGCGGCCCCCUGGACAGAUACUGACACUCAGAUGCGAAAGCGUGGGGAGCAAACAGGAUUAGAUACCCUGGUAGUCCACGCCGUAAACGAUGUCUACUUGGAGGUUGUGGCCUUGAGCCGUGGCUUUCGGAGCUAACGCGUUAAGUAGACCGCCUGGGGAGUACGGUCGCAAGAUUAAAACUCAAAUGAAUUGACGGGGGCCCGCACAAGCGGUGGAGCAUGUGGUUUAAUUCGAUGCAACGCGAAGAACCUUACCUACUCUUGACAUCCAGAGAACUUUCCAGAGAUGGAUUGGUGCCUUCGGGAACUCUGAGACAGGUGCUGCAUGGCUGUCGUCAGCUCGUGUUGUGAAAUGUUGGGUUAAGUCCCGCAACGAGCGCAACCCUUAUCCUUGUUUGCCAGCGAGUAAUGUCGGGAACUCCAGGGAGACUGCCGGUGAUAAACCGGAGGAAGGUGGGGACGACGUCAAGUCAUCAUGGCCCUUACGAGUAGGGCUACACACGUGCUACAAUGGCGCAUACAGAGGGCGGCCAACUUGCGAAAGUGAGCGAAUCCCAAAAAGUGCGUCGUAGUCCGGAUCGGAGUCUGCAACUCGACUCCCUGAAGUCGGAAUCGCUAGUAAUCGUGGAUCAGAAUGCCACGGUGAAUACGUUCCCGGGCCUUGUACACACCGCCCGUCACACCAUGGGAGUGGGCUGCAAAAGAAGUGGGUAGUUUAACCUUCGGGAGGACGCUCACCACU